AUUGAACGCUGGCGGCGUGCCUAAUACAUGCAAGUCGAACGCAGUGGGGACGGGUGAGGAACACGUGGGUAACCUCCCAUCAGAGGGGAUAACCCUUGGAAACAAGUGCUAAACCGAUACUGAUGGAUGAACCCGGGGGGCAUUAGCUAGUUGGUGAGGUAACGGCUCACCAAGGCCACGAUGCAUAGCCGAGCUGAGAGGGUGAUCGGCCACACUGGGACUGAGACACGGUCCAGACUCCUACGGGAGGCAGCAGUAGGGAAUCUUCGACAAUGGACGAAAGACGGACCGAGCAACGCCGCGUGAGUGAAGAAGGUUUUCGGAUCGUAAAACUCUGUUGUUAGAGAAGCGGUAUCUAACCAGAAAGCCACGGCUAACUACGUGCCAGCAGCCGCGGUAAUUC
rnacentral:rRNA from 1 species